rnacentral:lncRNA from 1 species
UUGAAUAUGCUCACGCAUGGAGGAGGCAGCUGGAAAAAGCCACUUUUGACCACAGGAUCCUUAUUCCAGGAAGCUCCUUGAAGGUGGAUGGUUCAGAGGAACCUCUGCUCUGGCUGUUUACCCAGCUUCACAAAGCUUUGGUCUCCACCUCUGGGCAGGAGAGUUGCCGACCACCUCGGGGGUGCUUUCUCUGCGCUUGAACAUCUAUAGCUGCUUCUGAGGGGCUGGGAGCCGGGCCCCUGGGAGAGACGAGCCAUGAACCCCCCACAGCCUCUGCAUUUGGGGACCUCACCUUAGGAGAGUGCCAUUUACAGCUUCCGCCAGGGCAAAGGAGCUGAGCAGCCAUCCCAAGCCCAGCCCACCUCCCUCCCCCGGCCCCUGGUAGGCAUGGACUAGCAGCUGUGAGCAGCCAGAGCUGAUGCCCGGCCCCCAGGGGGGCAGAGGCGCCGCCACCAUGAGCCUGGGCAAGCUCUCGCCUGUGGGCUGGGUGUCCAGUUCACAGGGAAAGAGGCGGCUGACUGCAGACAUGAUCAGCCACCCACUCGGGGACUUCCGCCACACCAU